CUUCCUGUGAUGAGAUCAAUGUCCAGUUCUGCUACUGAUGAUCAGCGAUGACAAUCAGACUCCUGAGGAAG